GAUGAACGCUGGCGGCGUGCCUAAUACAUGCAAGUCGAGCGAAUAGACGAGGAGCUUGCUCCUCUGACGUUAGCGGCGGACGGGUGAGUAACACGUGGAUAACCUACCUAUAAGACUGGGAUAACUUCGGGAAACCGGAGCUAAUACCGGAUAACAUGUUGAACCGCAUGGUUCAACAGUGAAAGACGGUCUUGCUGUCACUUAUAGAUGGAUCCGCGCCGCAUUAGCUAGUUGGUAAGGUAACGGCUUACCAAGGCAACGAUGCGUAGCCGACCUGAGAGGGUGAUCGGCCACACUGGAACUGAGACACGGUCCAGACUCCUACGGGAGGCAGCAGUAGGGAAUCGUCCGCAAUGGGCGAAAGCCUGACGGAGCAACGCCGCGUGAGUGAAGAAGGUCUUCGGAUCGUAAAACUCUGUUAUUAGGGAAGAACAAAUGUGUAAGUAACUAUGCACGUCUUGACGGUACCUAAUCAGAAAGCCACGGCUAACUACG
rnacentral:rRNA from 1 species